AACGAACGCUGGCGGCAGGCCUAACACAUGCAAGUCGAGCGCGCCCUUCGGGGUGAGCGGCGGACGGGUGAGUAACGCGUGGGAACGUGCCCUUUUCUACGGAAUAGCCUCGGGAAACUGAGAGUAAUACCGUAUACGCCCUUUUGGGGAAAGAUUUAUCGGAAAAGGAUCGGCCCGCGUUGGAUUAGGUAGUUGGUGGGGUAAUGGCCUACCAAGCCGACGAUCCAUAGCUGGUUUGAGAGGAUGAUCAGCCACACUGGGACUGAGACACGGCCCAGACUCCUACGGGAGGCAGCAGUGGGGAAUCUUAGACAAUGGGGGCAACCAUGAUCUAGCCAUGCCGGGUGAGUGAUGAAGGCCUUAGGGUUGUAAAGCUCUUUCAGCUGGGAAGAUAAUGACGGUACCAGCAGAAGAAGCCCCGGCUAACUCCGUG
rnacentral:rRNA from 1 species